rnacentral:rRNA from 1 species
UGUAAACUUGUACUCUAAUUGAUGUCGUCCUUAAGUGUUUAUUAUUAAUUUACUUUUAGUUUUUGGGUAAAAUUAGAGAUUUUGUUAAUUGUUAUUUGAGGACAAAAAAUUUAGUGAGCAAGCCAGAUUAGUACCUGGUUAGAUAAAAGUUAAAAGAGCAGGAGUAAGGUUAUAUUUAAACUGUAAGAAUAUUGGCAGGUUUUUAAAUUAUCUUUGGAGGUUGAAUAGUAAUUGAGAGCCCUCAUUAUCUACUUUUAUUUUAGGCGCAUCUAUGAUCGUUUAUUUUAUUCUUGAGGAUUGUAAUUUUAGUUUAUAACUGUAAAAAUAGAUAUAUACUUGGUCUAUAUUAAAGUUUAUUUUGACCUACAAUAUUAUAUUUUUUGGAUAAUAUUU